CUCCCCCUCCGGGCUCAUGGGUCCUGGCGGCUCGGAGAGGCGAUGGAGGCGCCGGGCCGGCCAGGAUGGUCCGCUCCCUCGACAACCUCAAGUAAGGAGUGCAUUUCGGUGAAGAGGCAAUUUGGCCCGUCUAGUUUGACGGCAGGGUCAUACUUUGCUUCAUGUCUCUACAGGUAGGAGGAGUCUUUAGUUUGAUGCUUCAAAAAUCCAAUAAAAACAACAAAAAUCCUUUCAAUGUAUUGUCAAAGGAUUUCACAGCCAGAAUCCACAGGCUGUUGUAGGUUUUCCAGGCUGUAAGGCUGAGGUCUGGUACAGUAAUGACAUCUCACCAGGACGUGCCUCUGAAGAUGCCAGUCAUCGAUGUGGGCGAAAUGUUUGGAGCAAAAGUUACUGGACCAACAGCCACACAUUCCAAACCCCCCCCCCCCGCCUUUCAACUUUAUAACUCCAAAACUAAAAUUAUCAAACUUUUUAAAAAAAGUUUCCUAAGCAACUAGAUUUAAGUCAAGUAGCACCUUACAGACAAACAAGAUUUUCAGGGUAUGAGCUUUGACUCUCAAAACCUCACAUCCUGGAAAUUUUGUUAGCAUCUAGCAUGCUACGGGAUUCAAAUCUAGCUGUUCUACUGAAGACCAACGCAGCUAGCCUCUGAAGCUUCCCUAGAGAAGAAGAUGAAGGCCCACGAUAUUAAAAAAAGAGCUGACGUAGAAAAAAUGUAGGAGAGCAAAGCCCCUCUACCUCCAGUGCUGACAAAACAGGCUAUACGUACCCUUUUAUAACACGGUGGACAGAAUUCUCCCCUUACCUCUGGGUAGAAGAAACAGUAAUGACGAGUCCAACGUUCGAGUCUCAGUUGGAAUAAAUACAGAUGACAUGCUUUAAAAAGUACCUUCUGCCAUCUGGCUGGGAGCAAUGCCUGUUAUUCAACCUAUUUAUUGAAUCUCCCAGUUGGAGGAGAUCCAACUGAUACUCUAAAAGCUCCAAAGAAAGAUGUAGUUAUACUACCUGCAAUCUAGCCAAAGGCUGCGCUGAAAGAGGCAAAGGACUCUCAAAAAUUCAAAGUGGUUUCCUGGUAGACUUUCCCCACCAAUCAUUGAUGUCAAAGGUGGUUUAUGUAGCUGCUGAUCAGAGAGGAAGAGAGGGCCUUUUCCCCAAGUUUGGAAAGCCGGGGUGUCCUUGCUCUGCCUGGUUAAGUUGGGCUUUAGCGGUUACCUUAGUUUGUAGGACAUGACGCUGCUGCAUUUGUGGAAAGUAUAUUAGAGCUGACUGUAUGGCACUCAAUUUGACCAGGUGAUGUUCUUGUCCAAUACCAUGUAGCUCCAAAGCUACAGGUCAGCCCCUGAUCAUCUGCCCCUCUUCUUUGAAGACUUGGCAUCCCUCAUUAUCUGAAUUUGUGAUGGUAUCAGGGAGAGCCAUCCAGUUAAUUUCUGCUUAUGCGAGGUUGGCAUGGGAACUCAAACUUGCUCUUUCCCCAAGCUACGUUCUUGUUAAGUUAAGAACCCCUGCAGAGGUCUGGAGUGGCCUACAGAAUGGAGACCGUGCACCAAACCAUGCAUUUUUCAAGUGGGCGAAGAACUCCACGUCUGCUGUUUUUUGCACCACUGCCGUCUUAUCUCCCGCCAUGCAUUUCUUCUUACCAUGGCUACAACUGCCCUGACCUGGACGACCUGGGCUAGCCUGAUCUCGGAAGCUAAGCAGGGUCAACCUUGGUUAGUCGUUGGACGGGAGACUAUCAAGGAAGUCCAGGGUCACCACACAGAGGAAUGCAAGGAAUAUCUGAACAUCUCUUGCCUUGGAAAUCCCAAGAGAUCUCUGUAAGCUGCAAUUUGACAGCACUUUCAACCAUCACGUCUACCACUGCCACCAAAUGAGAUGUGUGCUGAAUGGGAGACGUUAGGUUUUUCCCAUGUUGAUCAAGAAUUUGUAUCAAGUCAGGGAAGAAGAUGGUAUUGGUUUCUGAAUGAACACAUCCAAAGAUCAUCCAGGUAGGGAUGUAUGACUACCACGACUGUCGCCUUUGUAAAUGCUCUGGGACUGAGGAUUGUUUCUAUAUGAGCCCUUCGGGGAUAGGGCGGUAUAUUAAAUCCAAUAAAUAAAUAAAAUAAAAAAUAAACCAAACAAUCUAGAUAGUUCUCUUUGGGAGUAGAAAGGGAGAAAGGUGUGGCUGGUCGAAAGGGAAUCCAAAUAAUAGCACUGGGAUGGAAGGAUAAGAAGAAAUGGACUAUUUUGAAAUGGUUAGAGUAUAUUUGGGAACAAAUACAAAUGGACAUUUUCGAGAUAAUGGCAAGAAAUAAUCUAUGGCAAGAUAAACAAAGAGAAAUGUUGAAGAUAUGGACACAGUUCGUGGAUUGGAUGAAAGAAGCUGGAGUCAAAGAAGAAAUAUGGGAGAAAAAGUACAAUGAAUGAACUUAUUCCUGCUUACUUAAGGAACUGAGAUAGAAAACAGGGUGGAGGGGGAAACAAGGGGGAAAAGUAAGGUUUGGAAUAUGUAAAUAAAAAUGUUCUUGGAUAAUGUAUAAGUGUAACAAAAUUUCAGACUAUACAAUAAAAUUAUUUU